CAGGACUAAAUAAAAUCAACACUCGCCGUCAGUUUUUUCAGCAUCUCUAUGAGUCGACUAUCGAACUGCCACAGCAA
rnacentral:tRNA from 1 species